GAUGAACGCUAGCGGCAGGCUUAAUACAUGCAAGUCGUGGGGCAGCGCAGGUGGCAAUACUGGGCGGCGACCGGCAAACGGGUGCGGAACACGUACACAACCUUCCGAGAAGUGGGGAAUAGCCCAGAGAAAUUUGGAUUAAUACCCCGUAACAUAACGAUGUGGCAUCACAUUGUUAUUAUAGCUUCGGCGCUUCUUGAUGGGUGUGCGGCUGAUUAGAUAGUUGGCGGGGUAACGGCCCACCAAGUCUACGAUCAGUAGCUGAUGUGAGAGCAUGAUCAGCCACACGGGCACUGAGACACGGGCCCGACUCCUACGGGAGGCAGCAGUAAGGAAUAAUGGUCAAUGGACGCAAGUCUGAACCAGCCAUGCCGCGUGAAGGAUUAAGGUCCUCUGGGUUGUAAACUUCUUUUCUUGGGUACGAAACCCCUGUUUCUACGGGGACUGACGGUACCAGAGGAAUAAGCACCGGCUAACUCCGUGCCAGCAGCCGCGGUAAU
rnacentral:rRNA from 1 species